rnacentral:rRNA from 2 species
UGGUGAACCAGCGGAGGGAUCAUU